GAUGAACGCUAGCGGCAGGCCUAACACAUGCAAGUCGAGGGGUAACAGAAGAAAGCUUGCUUUCUUGCUGACGACCGGCGAACGGGUGCGUAACACGUAUGUAAUCUGCCUCUUACAGGGGGAUAGCCCAGAGAAAUCUGGAUUAAUACCCCAUAAUAUCAUUGGAUCGCCUGGUUUGAUGAUUAAAGAAUUUCGGUAAGAGAUGAGCAUGCUUCUGAUUAGUUUGUUGGUGAGGUAACGGCUCACCAAGACUACGAUCAGUAGGGGGUCUGAGAGGAUGAUCCCCCACACUGGUACUGAGACACGGACCAGACUCCUACGGGAGGCAGCAGUGAGGAAUAUUGCACAAUGGAAGGCAACUCUGAUCCAGCCAUGCCGCGUGAAGGAUGAAUGCCCUCUGGGUUGUAAACUUCUUUUAUAUGGGAAGAAAAACCCCUCUACGUGUAGAGGUCUGACGGUACCAUAAGAAUAAGGACCGGCUAACUCCGUGCCAGCAGCCGCGGUAAUACGGAGGGUCCAAGCGUUAUCCGGAUUUAUUGGGUUUAAAGGGUCCGUAGGCGGGAAGAUAAGUCAGUGGUGAAAGCCUGCAGCUCAACUGCAGAACUGCCAUUGAAACUGUCUUUCUUGAAUAUAGAUGAAGUGGGCGGAAUAUAUCAUGUAGCGGUGAAAUGCAUAGAUAUGAUAUAGAACACCGAUUGCGAAGGCAGCUCACUAAACUAUUAUUGACGCUGAGGGACGAAAGUGUGGGGAGCGAACAGGAUUAGAUACCCUGGUAGUCCACACCGUAAACGAUGAUUACUCGGUGCUAGCGAUAUAUAGUGUCUAAGCGAAAGCGAUAAGUAAUCCACCUGGGGAGUACGGUCGCAAGGUUAAAACUCAAAGGAAUUGACGGGGGCCCGCACAAGCGGUGGAGCAUGUGGUUUAAUUCGAUGAUACGCGAGGAACCUUACCUGGGCUUAAAUGUAUUUUGACAGGCUGGGAAACCAGCCCUUCUUCGGACAAUUUACAAGGUGCUGCAUGGUUGUCGUCAGCUCGUGCUGUGAGGUGUCGGGUUAAGUCCCAUAACGAGCGCAACCCCUAUCUUUAGUUGCCAGCGAGUCAUGUCGGGGACUCUAAAGAAACUGCCAGCGUAAGCUGUGAGGAAGGUGGGGAUGACGUCAAAUCAUCACGGCCCUUACAUCCUGGGCUACACACGUGCUACAAUGGUGGAGACAGUGAGCAGCAAACCGGUGACGGUGAGCCAAUCUUCAAACUCCAUCUCAGUUCGGAUCGAAGUCUGCAACUCGACUUCGUGAAGUUGGAAUCGCUAGUAAUCGCAUAUCAGCCAUGAUGCGGUGAAUACGUUCCCGGGCCUUGUACACACCGCCCGUCAAGCCAUGGAAGCUGGGAGUGCCUGAAGUCGGUUACCGUAAGGAUCCGCCUAGGGCAAAACUAGUAACUGGGGCU
rnacentral:rRNA from 1 species